CAACACCACUAGGGGUGCUUUCGAAGCUGAGAGAGACGAGAAGUCUUAACCCUUAUAACCUGAACUAGGUAAUACUAGCGUAGGAAAGAGGUAUUGUAAUGGA
rnacentral:ncRNA from 3 species